GCGUGCUUAGUGUAGUGGUAUCUCGCUCCGUUCGGGUCGGAGAGGUCCUCGGUUCAAUCCCGAGAGUGCGCC
rnacentral:tRNA from 1 species